rnacentral:tRNA from 1 species
GGAGAUGAAGUAUUAAGUAUAUUUUAUUUACACUAAAAAGGACUUCAAUUGAAGCGUCUCCA